AGGUAGGGGAGAAAGAAGCGAUCCUGGGAGGAAAUAGGGAUCAGGUUGCUCAGAGUAGGUGACCACUGACCUGGCUGAAGAAGGGCGAGGAGAUGUCCGCACAGAAAAAGGGCCUAGUGAGGGGAAAGCCGUGUCAGGCGGAGGGAACAGUCCUAGUAAAGGCCUCGAUGUGGGAAGGGCUCGCUUCGAGAGCCCCGGACCCCACCCCUAGGUCCCUGCCUCCCCUCUUUCUCACCCCCCGCCAUCCUCCCCCAAGGUCACCCAUCACUAGGCAAGCCUGGGGGUCGCCGCCUGCUGGCGACCCUGACAGGCAUGUUAAUACCAAACUUUGAGUCCUUUCUGUCGGACUUAGUCAGGGCGCAGCGAGUCGUCUGGUCCCCCCCCACCGGCUGCAGUGGCUUCUUGUCUGCAGAAGUUUGGGCAGAUAGCAAGCGUCCUUGAGGCAGUAAGGGUCAGUCCGCACUCUUCGCGUCUGGAGAUCUGGGUGAAACCGCCGUGACACCUCCAGUGUGCAGUUCUCGGGAGGUCCCUGGAUUCCUAGAAGUGGGUUCAGGGAAGUGAUCUGCCAGCCAAGAUGAUGAAGCCGGGAGCAGCUGUGCCGUGGAGCUGUCAGUGCCUCGUGGAGAAGCAAAGACGGCGGCUGGGUGUGCUUUGGUCUUCUCUUUUAUUCCUCUGAACCACAGAAGAAUUUCUUUAUACACUCGUCUGCCCACAGGAAAUCUACCCUAAGACCUGAUGCAUGGAACCCCAAACACUGCGGACAAAACUGAGCAAGAGACGC